CCUACGGGCGGCAGCAGUGAGGAAUAUUGGUCAAUGGGCGUCAGCCUGAACCAGCCAAGUCGCGUGAGGGAUGAAGGUUCUAUGUAUCGUAAACCUCUUUUAUAAGGGAAUAAAGUGUGGGACGUGUCCUGUGUUGUAUGUACCUUAUGAAUAAGGAUCGGCUAACUCCGUGCCAGCAGCCGCGGUAAUACGGAGGAUCCGAGCGUUAUCCGGAUUUAUUGGGUUUAAAGGGUGCGUAGGCGGCCUUUUAAGUCAGCGGUGAAAGUCCGUGGCUCAACCCUAGAAGUGCCGUUGAAACUGGGAGGCUUGAGUAGGAUUGAAGCAGGCGGAAUGCGUGGUGUAGCGGUGAAAUGCAUAGAUAUCACGCAGAACCCCGAUUGCGAAGGCAGCCUGCC
rnacentral:rRNA from 1 species